UACGAAGGGGGCUAGCGUUGCUCGGAAUCACUGGGCGUAAAGGGUGCGUAGGCGGGUAUUUAAGUCGGGGGUGAAAUCCUGGAGCUCAACUCCAGAACUGCCCUUGAUACUGAAGAUCUUGAGUUCGGGAGAGGUGAGUGGAACUGCGAGUGUAGAGGUGAAAUUCGUAGAUAUUCGCAAGAACACCAGUGGCGAAGGCGGCUCACUGGCCCGAUACUGACGCUGAGGCACGAAAGCGUGGGGAGCAAACAGG
rnacentral:rRNA from 1 species